rnacentral:misc_RNA from 1 species
GAGAUCGUGAGAAACCUGUGUCUGCGUGUGUGUGGGUCUGCGCAUCGUGCGUGCAACAGGCUUCGUGGCAUCGACGGCGCCGUGACUGCGCUGCACAGCAACUCAGCACUUCUGAGGCGCACACGCGCACAACGAGGUGGACGUUUCACGCUCAUCUAGAGGCGCCUGCACAUGUCGCCUCAGCUCCAUGGUCGUGUGCUUCGCUGCUGCUGCGCCAACGCUACUUUGUGCCCAGCAUCUGCCGCGCGUGAGGUCCAUGUGGGGCUCAUGACACGGAUGACCAGUGUGCGCGUGCGCGGCAGCACUAUGGCGAUGCGCACCCGCGGCGCCAACUGGGGUGUGGCUGCUACAGUGUGCUCGUAUCGGUGUGUGAGCAGUGGCACCUCGCAGCACCAGCAGCAGCACGUCGCCGCAGACGAGCUCCGCGCUGCUCUGCGUACGCUGGGACUCGCCGAAGAAAGCACAGAUGCGGAGGUAAAGCGAGCCUUUCAAGCCUUUGCCAUACAACACCACCCCGACACGAAUGCUGUUUGGGCGGCAGCGCUGUCGAGCUCAGACGAGGCGAGCAGCAACACCAGGAGCCAAGCACACGCGGCGGAGCGCAUGCGACUUGGCACAGAGGCAUACCAGCUCCUUCGGCGGAUCCCAUACGGCGUGCGGCAGCAUAUUCUACGCGGGGAGGGGCAGGGCGGUGGCGUUGAUGUGCGAGGCCGGUUUCGUGGCCCACACGACGCCAACUUCACGUUUACGGCGGAAGAGUACGCGAAGGUGCAGCGGAUUUACCAAGGCGACCGUCACCGUCGUCGGCGCCACCGCGGCGGUCGUGACAAGAGCGGUGGCGCUGGCGACGGCAACGGUGACGAAGAUCUCUUCGACGCCCGAACGGAGGAGGGCCGUCGCCGCAUUGCCCGACUGAACGAAUUCCAAGCUCGUGUCGUGGAGAUGCGCCGGCGAGGCAUCCGCGACGACCUGCCGCCGUGGAGGGUCUACGAGAACGACAAGGGCGCCGGCACGGUGGGCGAUAGCAGGUCAGCGUCAACAAGUGGAGGUGACGCCGGGGAUGGACAUCAGGAGCGUCACGGCAGCCGCGCCGCCGGCAGCGGCCCGCGCAACACAAACCGCCUGGGCCUGCACUUCUUCAAUGUCACAACAUCCAGCUUGAGGGAGGUGCGUGAUCUCUACCGUAGCCGACCAGGCUUUGCGGGGAUGGACGGCAGCUCCUACGACAACCCACACAGCGCCGCGCGCGUCGCGCCGGAGAUCAGCUCCAACCCGCACCUGCGCCAGUACAUCUUGAUGAAAAGCCGUGCGCAGGAAAAGGCGAUCGUAGACCGUGCCGUGGGGCGGCCGCUCCUGCUGUUCCUCCUGCUGGUUACCCUCUCGGCCGCGAUGGUAAUGAUGGCGGCGACGGUUCGAUCGUAUCGCAUGCGCAUGCAGAAGGAUGAGGACCUUCGCCGGCGUGACGAGGAGAGAGGCGGCGCAUGAACGACGCGUGGAGUGAGGGCGGGGCGUGCAGUCAAAACACCGAAGCCUCCUGCACACCAAUCGGAUACGAGCCAGCUUCGCAGCGAAGGCGAAAAAAGGUAAAAAGGAGGCGCGACCACCACAACCAACAGAAGAGAGUUACCAGCAGCAGCAGCGGCUGAGGGGAUGGACAGGUGUGCCUGUCUGCGAGUGUGCGCAUGUGCAUGUGCUUAGCGCUCAGCUGGAUGAGAAGUAAGAAUGGUGGUGAGGCGGAGGGGCGUCAGGUGGAAGGGCGUAAGGAGACGAAGUGUGGAACGUGGCCAGUGAUCCCCCUUCCUCACAGGUGCAGAGAGACGCGCACGCAUGCACACAUACAAACAUCAACUGCACACGUAGAAAAUUCUGUGGUUGUGCUUUCUCUUCUCACGCCCUGCAGGAGUGAAGCUCGCUCGCUCUCCCCUCUGCCACGCAUCCAGCUAUUCUUGCAUGCGAUCUACGCUUACCAGGCCCUCGCCACCCAUCGCCAGUGCUGCAUUGUCGAUCGCCAACGCCAGCUCUCUCUCCUUCUCUUCCUGCGAAUCUCCUGCUCUUACGGUGAUGAUCUUUCGGCUACGUUACCAUCUUCGCACACACGCGUACAUACACGUGCACGCACACUCGAAUCAG